UUUGCCAAACCUAUUCCCUUCCAUCCUUCCUCCACGCUGCGCAGCCCAACCCCUUUCCUCACUGCCUUCACUGCGCAGCAACAACAACAACACACAAAAAUUUCCUUUGUGUUCCCUGAAAGAAAAAUGAAGCCGAAGGGGGAGUGGGGUGAGGAAUCCACGGAGAAGGAAGGAGAGGGGGAAGAAGAGAGAGGCGGCGCGGUGGGUGCCACUGCCAUCGUCGCCGCCGUUGCUAGCCAAAGGGAGAAGAAGGAUCUGUUCGCGCCGUCACCACGCGGUUGCUGAGCCGUGCCGUCGCCGCCAUUGCUGUCCUGUCCCUGGAACCUGAGCCGCACCUCUAUCACCGAACCAGAGGAGCUCAUCCUUCCUGAGUCACCACCAUCUUGCCCCUGCCGGCGAGCGCGAAGAGAGAGGGAGAGCGCGACAGGGGAGACCAUCGCCGCCUGGGUCACCGUCGCCGGGCCUCCUUGCCAUCGCCAGUCCUGCUUGUUCUGUCGCCGGGAAACUCGUCGCUGUUGGGAUCUCACCGCCGCCGUUCCUGUUGUGGCUGGUGUCGCGCCGGAGAGCCACCAUCGCGGGUUGAGGCUGAUCCUUUUGCUGCCGUUUCAUCGUUGCUGCGGCUGAGUUACGGCCGUUGGGUCUGACCAGAGAGGAAAGUGGUGACGAUGGUGGAUGUUGGUGCUGGGUUAGCCCCGCCACUGCUGCUGGCCGUUCCGAGCUGCUUCGCUGUAUCUGCCGCCGGAGAAUGCAACUUAGUCGCCGAAAAACUCUGCCGUUGACCCACCGAAGCUUCUGGCCGCUGCCGGAGCUGUUGCCGGGCCUGUUCGAAAUCGCAGCUGCUUCGUUUCGCUAGUUCACUGAGGUUGCGGUUGUUGAUGAUUUCGGGUUGAGGCGGAAAGGACUCUGUGACGCGUUUGAGUUAUGAAAUUUGCGUUUUGAGGAUAUGGGCGUAGAAGUUACAAAGAGUUUAUUUAGUUGUUGUUGAGAUGCUCUGUAUUGCUUUGGAUUAUUACUUGUUGUACCAUCGCCUUUAUCUUGAUAUAUUCUGUAAGAGGGAUAGGAAUUGUAUUGGUUAAUGCUUGUAAUAUUAUGUAUGUAUAUAUAUAUAUAUAUGUGUGUGUGUGUGUGUGUGUGUGUGUGUGUGUGUAGGUACUCUUUGUGAAUUGUUGUAAGUGUAUUGUAUGUACGGAUGUAUGUUGUAUAACGAAAGUAUUUUUGGAGCAAUUUUGCGGUUUAAAGUUUUAAACAGGCUCAUAUUUUAGUAUUAAAUAGUAUAAGUGUCGUCGUAAUGUCCG